AGAUGUUGGGUUAAGUCCCGCAACGAGCGCAACCCUUGUCCUGUGUUACCAUGCCGAAAGGCGGCACUCGCAGGAGACCGCCAGCGAUAAGCUGGAGGAAGGUGGGGAUGACGUCAAGUCCUCAUGGCCUUUAUGUCCAGGGCUACACACGUGCUACAAUGGGCGGUACGAAGCGCUGCUAAAUCGCAAGAUGGAGCCAAUCGCAGAAAGCCGCUCUCAGUUCGGAUUGCAGGCUGCAACUCGCCUGCAUGAAGCUGGAAUCGCUAGUAAUGCUAUAUCAGAAUGAUAGCGUGAAUACGUUCCCGGGCCUUGUACACACCGCCCGUCACAUCACGAAAGUGGAUUGUACUAGAAGUCUGCGCGCUAACCCGCAAGGGGGGCAGCGGCCCAAGGUAUGAUUCAUGAUUGGGGUGAAGUCGUAACAAGGUAA
rnacentral:rRNA from 1 species